rfam:Aspergillus ustus strain 3.3904 ATSC_75, whole genome shotgun sequence.
CCAGCUCUCUUUGCCUUUUGGCUUAGAUCAAGUGUAGUAUCUGUUCUUUUCAGUUUAAUCUCUGAAAGUGUUCUAAGGAACACAACAUUGAUUAAUCUUAUUUUUGGUCU